rnacentral:rRNA from 1 species
UACGGGGGGGCAAGCGUUGUUCGGAAUUACUGGGCGUAAAGGGCUCGUAGGUGGCCAACUAAGUCGAACGUGAAAUCCCCGAGCUCAACUCGGGAACUGCGUCCGAUACUGGCGGGCUUGAAUCCGGGAGAGGGAUGCGGAAUUCCAGGUGUAGCGGUGAAAUGCGUAGAUAUCUGGAGGAACACCGGUGGCGAAGGCGGCAUCCUGGACCAACACUGACGCUGAGUGAGCGAAAGCCAGGGGAGCAAACGGG